rnacentral:misc_RNA from 1 species
ACUGCGCCCCGACUUGAACGGAAAUCCUUUUAGUGGAGCAACGCGUGACAAAAAGAUUGGGAGUGGAAGGUGGAAAAGGCG